rnacentral:rRNA from 1 species
AUUGAACGCUGGCGGCAGGCUUAACACAUGCAAGUCGAGCGGGGGAGGUUGCUUCGGUAACUGACCUAGCGGCGGACGGGUGAGUAAUGCUUAGGAAUCUGCCUAUUAGUGGGGGACAACAUCUCGAAAGGGAUGCUAAUACCGCAUACGUCCUACGGGAGAAAGCAGGGGACCUUCGGGCCUUGCGCUAAUAGAUGAGCCUAAGUCGGAUUAGCUAGUUGGUGGGGUAAAGGCCUACCAAGGCGACGAUCUGUAGCGGGUCUGAGAGGAUGUUCCGCCACGCUGGGACUAAGACACGGCCCAGCUUCCUACGGGAGGCAGCAGUGGGGAAUAUUGGACAAUGGGGGGAACCCUGAUCCAGCCAUGCCGCGUGUGUGAAGAAGGCCUUUUGGUUGUAAAGCACUUUAAGCGAGGAGGAGGCUACUGGUGUUAAUACUACCGGAUAGUGGACGUUACUCGCAGAAUAAGCACCGGCUAACUCUGUGCCAGCAGCCGCGGUAACAC